GUAGGGUGCGAGCGUUAUCCGGAAUCAUUGGGCGUAAAGAGCUCGUAGGCGGUUCAGCAAGUCGGCUGUGAAAUUCCGAGGCUCAACCUCGGAACUGCAGUCGAUACUGUUGUGACUCGAGUCCGGUAGAGGAGAAUGGAAUUCCCGGUGUAGCGGUGAAAUGCGCAGAUAUCGGGAGGAACACCAGUAGCGAAGGCGGUUCUCUGGGCCGGCACUGACGCUGAGGAGCGAAAGCGUGGGGGUAGCAAACAGGAUUAGAUACCCUGGUAGUCCACGCCCGUAAACGUUGGAUACUAGGCGUGGGGUUCCGACCAACGGUCCCCGUGCCGAAGCUAACGCAUUAAGUAUCCCCGCCUGGGGAGUACGGCCGCAAGGCUA
rnacentral:rRNA from 1 species